GGGAGCCGUGUGUGUGGAGCAGGCAAGAGGCGGAACCUCCAAGCACUGGGUCUGGGCCAGCGGAUGCGUGUGCGUGACCCCCUGGGGACCACGGCAGGCUCUCUCCAGGCUGGGCUUCUGGGUCCGGCCCUGGGAGCGCCUCCUGACCCAGCUACAGGAGGAAGGAGGGGCUGUGCCCUGUCCUGGUUUUGCUCCUGGCUUCCCGCAAAAGUGGUCCGGUCUGCCUCUCGCGUCCUUCUAACACCUGCUUCCACAGAUGCAAGAAGUCCCCUCCACGGGGCCCGAAGGCUCUCCUAAGCACUUGCUCUGCCCUCUCUGAGGGUUCACCAGGAGCAGGGUGGGGCCGGGGGCCGCUUGCGGGGAGAGGCUGGCAGAAGGCAAUCAGUCACUGUCACUUGCAGCUGUGCACUCCUGUCAACUGGCUAAUGAGAUGCCAACAUUUACAUUUUUAAUUUCUGCUAUUUGACAUUUUAUGCAGCACACCCCAGCUCCCCCACCAGAGGGGAGUUGUGUCGUUUCCUAAUGAGGAACCGAAGGGCCCCCGUGUCCCUGAAGACAGCCACUCUCUCCCAGGCGUUUUAGGCUGUGGGUUACAUGAAAGAGACCAGGGGAACAUCAGGCCGUUAAGCAGCACGCCCAGGAGCCUUUGCGGUGUCCCAGCUCAGCCCACACUGAAUGCUUGUGGCAUCAAUGCUGGGGAGAGCGAGCCUGAUGACUUAGAAUGGACGACAGUGGUGGGGACAGUCGCCAGGGUGGGGACUGGGGUGAGGCAGCUGGGGCACAAAGUUCUAGGAGAGCCACUCACUCACUCUCACCUGCACAAAUGCAGGUGACAAUGACAGGCUCUGGGUUUGCAGAACUCAAGGCUCGAUCAGGUAAGCACAGGGGGCAUUCUCAGAGGCUCUGUUUCUCACCCUGGACCCUGGCCCCGUGCCUCUCCCACCAGCACCCCUCACUGCACCAACCAUGAAUCCAUCAGUCCUAUGCCCGUUGCCCCACCUCCACCUCUCCCCACCAGUGCCCAGGAGUUGGGUGACAGGUUAGCCGACGUGGCACCUGUGUGCCUCUCCAGCCAUCGCACUCAAGGGCCUGCAUUGGAAUGAGCUUUCAGUUUGUGCCAGAUGUUCAGAGCAUCUGUCCAGGCUGGCAGGGGCUGGGCUGGCUUCCCUGCUCGAGCCACAGCGAGCGCUGCGCAGAGGCCGUGCCACCCCCGCUCUCAUUUGAUCCGCCUUCCUUCGCAACCUUCUUUCCAUGCGUGGUCCUCCCCCCUCCCCCACCUCCAGAGCCCUCAGGCCCCUCAGCUCCUUGUCCUGUUUCAUGCUGGCGCCUUUGCUCCAUCCCAGGAGAGCCCCUCUCUUCCAGGCCGGGAUCCCACCCCAGAUGUCCUGAGGCUCCUCGGGGUUCUGGGGAACGACAUUCCCGAUACAAAAGUUCCAGUGAGAGAUUCGAUUCCUGGCCACUCUUUCUGGAAGGGAGUAAGUGCAGUGUCCCAUUGACAGUGGAGACCCAGGGGUGCUAUCGGCGGCCCUGUCCUUGCUGCUCCCAGGGAGAUUUGUGCCAUUGUCCCCUCUCAAGCCCAGGCCUAUGGAGCAGAAUACACUCGUCAGGUAAAGGGUUAUGUUCACAAGUCAUAGAGGGAAAAAAUGAACCAAUGACCCCCCUCGCUGCCCAUGACCAGCAGCCAGACAGUCCCACUCUGUCACCACGGGGGGUCAGAGCCCCUGACGGGGAGGAAAACCCCAGGCUCCCCCUGAUAGGACAUGAUUUGUCUUCCGAAGCAGAAGCUCCUGCUGUUUCCAUUAGCCACUCAUAGAGCUUCACAGGUAGGUAGACGGCUCCGCCAGGCUAUUUGCAGAUAGCAUCAGGGCUCCUACUGUGACCCUUACGGUCCCUGAGGCACCCGAAGGCCCAGGCUAGGACCCCUGUCUCCCCCCAAACAGCAGAUGCCCAGCCCUCUGUCCUGGAGCAGGGCAUUAAAAGCCCAGUCCAUUCUGCCAAAGAGGAUAGACUUUCUAGUGAGUCUGUGUGUGAGAAGGAGGAGGGGGUGGCGUGGGGCUGAGAGUGGAGUGGGACGGGCAGGGGUCUCGCCUCUCACCUCUCGUAAUGGCGGUGGGUGGUCCGCCUGGAUGUUCUCUGUCUGCGUUGGCCCCUCUCACAAUGAGGUCAGAUCCCCACCAGGCAGCCUGUCUCCCCUCUGCUGUCUGUGUGCAGAGGGAGCCAGAUGGGACGGGUACACAGUGCCACUCAUGAGCCCACGGGUGGCUCCACCACACGUCCUCAUCUUCAGCAAGUUCUAAAUGGCUGAGCUGAGUGGCCUUGGACAACUCAACCUCCUGCCUGAGUGGGGGGCUUGAGGUCUGGCUGACCUUCAGCUUGUCCUCAUCCCCAGCCCUGCCCGGGACUAAGUGGGUCCGUCCUCUCUGUUGUCCUUGCUUUGACCUCUUCUCGCUCCUCUCCAGGGCUCUGUGCAACCCCUCACCCCUGUGGGACCCCUUGAGCCUGACAGGGGUCCCUGCUCUGGCAUCUCUGCGCUGUGCGCCCACCUGCUUUCUCCUGAGCUCCUGGUCUGCUGGGCUUGGCACUGGGCUCUGCCGCUGAGCAGCCGCAGUGACUGUGAAGAAUGCAAUUACACCCCAUCAGUGAACUUCACACAAGUGUUCUUAUCAGCUGGCUGUGCGGUGAGGAAGGGAAAGGUCAGCCUGGGCUCCUGUACUUGAACUUGCUCCCAUGGGAUACCUUCCUACAGGUGAGUCCUGCUCCAGAAGGGACUAGUGCUCUGAAAGUCCAUUCUGACCCACCUCGACCUGACCAAGGCCUGGCCCACUGAGGUCUGGGUCCCACCAUUGGCCUCACCCAGCUGUCUUUGCUGUGCUUGCUCAGGUGGGGUGCCAGCACCACUGCGGUCCUGACACUGGUCCCCAGGAGCUGCUCUAAAGGGAAGGGCCCCCAAGGGCUGGAUUCUCUGCUGCUGAUCGGUCUGCGGUGUUUUACCGUCAUGGGGCUUCCAUGAGGUGGGCCCAGUGUGUGACGGUGAGCACCCCAGCUCUGCCUUCAGGAUGGCCCUAGUGAUCGAGAAGGGAGCCUCUCAUGCCCUGAGCCUUCGAGAAGAACGAGGUCCUGUCGUCCCUUCGAGCACCUCAAGGAUGAAGGUGCAGACAUGAAAGACAUCAAGAGCCUGAUGCUCUGAUGUGCAGAUACUGGCCCUUCCAGGCCCUGCACCAAAGUCUCCUCUGUGCAUCCUUCACUGACCUCCCAAGGCCCAGCAGAACCAGGCCCUCCCUCUCUGAGCUCCCCCUGGUACAGCUGAUGGGCUUGCUGAGGGCCCGUCUGUGCGUCCUCCUCAGCCACGAGAGCCACAAGGGAGGGUCAAGUGUGCAGUGUGCCAUGAUGGACACCAUAAAUGCUUGGCCAAUGGAUUAAAGAUUUUUUUCUUUUGCUUUUUUAGGACCAGACCCAUAGCAUAUGGAGCUUCCCAGGCUAGGGGUCAAAUCAGAGCUACAGCUGCCAGUCUAUACCACAGCAACAGCAAUGCCAGAUCCGAGCCACGUCUGUGACCUACACCACAGCUCAUGGCAACACCGGAUCCUUAACCCACUGAGCAAGGCCAGGGAUCGAAUCUUUGUCCUCAUGGAUACUAGUCUGGUCCGUUCGUUUCCGCUGAGCCACAACAGGAGCUCCGGAUUAAUGAAUAUGUUAAUGAAAUGUCCAGAUUUCGCCUCCAGUGUUGUUCCCGAGGUGAAUUGCUACAGUUUUAUAUUUUGAAUAGAUGGCUUCCUUAGGAGGUUUUUAAAAAAUAUUUAAAAUUCUUAACCUUUUUCAUGUGUGAUAUGUGUGAUAAAUGGCAUCCCAACAUGUGGCAUGCCCUGGUCUGAUUCCCAGGGGCGCAGCUUCACUCACUCUUUCUGGAAAGCCUGUGACUGCGAGUGAGGGAGCCUAAUGGUGCCAUAGGGUUAAUUCCAACUGAAAGGAAGCCACUACCUAAGAUGAAAAUGUUACUACUAUUGGCAACGAAGUAGAAAUGACUGCUGAUCAUUCCAUGCAAGUCUGGUGACAACACUGUCGUGACACACCGGUCUGGUGACAACACUUGAGUUCUGCUCUAUAAGGUGAGUUGGUUACUACUGGGGAACCAAGAGGUUCUCCCUCCUUUCUCUAGAGGUGGCCAUGAGCAAGUGCUCUAAUACUUGGAUGGAGGCGGUAAAGACCAGACAGUGGGGCCACCGACUACUGGCAUUGCAAGAUCCAGCUGACCACAUAGGAGAGCUGGCCACUAGCAGCUCUGUUGUCUGAAUGAGCCACUGUCAACGCAGAGGGAGGUAAGACCUUCUUUGGUGACUCUGACAUGAUCGGAUCCAGAGACAGAAGAGUUAGCGUUCUCUCUGACAGCCAAGGCUGGAUGCCCACCAUGUGCGCCAGCAAGAAGGGGUGGGGAGAGACCAAAGAACAGGGCAAGAAGAAAAACAAAAUGCAACCCUUUUAGCAGAACCACGUUACUGACAUGGCUGGGAUCCCACCCCCUCUUGGUUAUGCCACCUGUACAAGGGAAGGCAAUUUUCAAGUCAAAAGAUGGAGACUCUCUCUCUGCCAUGAGCAAAACAAUAUUGUUCAUUCUGUCUCAGUCACCAAAUACAAAACAAUUUCUGGUCUCUAUGACUCUUCCAAAAGGCACCAAAUCUGAGCUCGUAUCCAAGUUUCUUAGCUUUAAGCUACUUGGAAAGAGAAAGGGCUUCUAAAAUCAAGACUGCCAUGGACGCUUGUGCAGGUUGUUCACUGCACAGAGGUGUUUGGUCAAGAGGGUGAAUUGAGGCUGAUAACCAGCCUGUCACUCAACAAACCAUGCACUCUGGCUUGGGGCCACAUCCCCUGGUAGGAAGGGACACCUUCCUUAAUUCGCACGGACACUAUAUGGGUUGGCAGAGGCCCUCUCUAAAAGUAUCAUCAAUAAUAGAAAAGGGAUUUUGGGAGUCAGCUGAAUUGGGGGCUCUACUUUCCUUUUAGCCACUUAAGUCAUCUUGGACUGAUUACCCAGCCAUUCUGUAUGUAUACUUCUUUCCCUACAUGGGCACAAAAUGAGGUUAUAAAUCCUGUCCUCUUAUAUUCCAGAGCUACUGUGACACAUAAGCAGAGCUUCAGCUGGCUCUUCCACUCAGGUGCUUGGCGUAUGGAGCUGCUGCGGUCCAGACAGACCAUGACUUCUUUACCGAAAGGGGGAUGUCUGAUCCUGCAUGCCGCUGGCUGCCCCCCUUGUGCCAGAUACACAGCACAUCCAGUCGGCAAACCUUAAAGAAGAGCCUGGAACCUUGGCCUCGUGUCUUCGUCUCUGCCCUCCACUGUGACCUGGAAGAAUCACGCCCUUCCUCCCUGCCUGUUCGUACUGGCUUAUUGCACAUGGCGAGGGCCCUGGCGCUGAACAGUUCAAGUGGCGCUGCCUGAUUCCCAUCUCCAAGCUCGUGUGCACAACACUCCCGGCCUCUCAUCUGCCCGCUGGGCUCCUCCUUCGCCUUCCUUCCAGGUAGCACCUCCUGGGUACCAGGAGCUACACUAGCAACUAGGGGUACGGUGUGAAUAAGACCUUUCCUCUUCCCUUUGUAAGAAACCUGCCUUCUGGGAGUUCCUGUCGUGGGUCAGCGGUAACGAACCUG